CUCAGUAGCUCGAGGAAAAGAAAUCAACCGAGAUUCCCCCAGUAGCGGCGAGCGAACGGGGAGGAGCCCAGAACCUGAAUCGGCUUGUGUGUUAGUGGAAGCGUCUGGAAAGUCGCGCAGCAAAGGGUGAUAGCCCCGUACACUAAAAUGCACAGGUCGUGAGUUCGAUGAGUAGGGCGGGACACGUGACAUCCUGUCUGAAUAUGGGGGGACCAUCCUCCAAGGCUAAAUACUCGUAAUCGACCGAUAGUGAACCAGUACCGUGAGGGAAAGGUGAAAAGCAC
rnacentral:rRNA from 1 species